CUGCUAUCUACAAAUCAACCAUUGUAUAGGAAAUAAAUGAUUUUGCCCCAUCAGUGUUAUCCAAAAAUAUGCUUUUUGUUUAUUCAAAGUACUAAAUAGUAAUUUGAUUAAACUAAAAUGAACUAAAGUUAAUAAUAAACAGCGAUAGAAUAAACUUAUCAGUGCCAAACACAGAUCAUAAAGAAAUCCGCUGGACAAGUCUUCUAUCUGGUUACUUUGCUGGCCUGCUGCAAUGUGUUCUCUACUAGGCAAGAAAAAAAAAAUGGUUCCACUCUCCAGCAUGUGGCUUCACCUAAUAAAAAGGACUGAGCAUGUGUGCCAUUUCACGGGGAGGAGUCAGGCAUCCAUCUUAGCUGCAUGGCACAAAGAAAGUCUCCAAAAAGGCGUUCACUCCCUCUAGUGGUAUAAUUCUAAAACGGCACUAAAUGACAAUAAACUGUAUUAAGCGAUAUCUAAUGAAUAAGACCAUAAACCCAUUUCCAACACACAUGAUUUCUAAUAGCUAUAUCCUCUAAGUUCCCCUCCAGCACCACCUCCACCAGAUACAUAACUCUUGGGAGUUGUAAAGGUUUUAGUGUUUUCUGUUGAAAAGAUUUGUAAUUAGGCCCAUCAAUAUUGACAGCACCAGGCUCAAGGGGUUUUUAAUCUGGCCCUGUGCAUGCAUCCAAGCAAUCAAACGCCAACACAACGUGCAAACACACUCCUGAAAGCGAACACAAAUAUUACAUGCAAACACACUAAUACAUUCAAACUACAAAAUUAUAUACAAAACACACUCCUUCACUCAAGCACCAAUACUACACACACAUGUACAUCCACAUUUAAAAGUCAAUAUUACAUACAAACACACCCCAUGCAAUCAAAUUCAAACAUACCCCUGUAUUAAAACACUGAAAUUACAUGUCCCUCCAUUUAAACACCAAUGCUAUACACAAAAGCACACUUUGCAGACACUACAUACAAACACACCCCUGCAUUCAAACGCAAGCACUAUACACAACUACAUUCCAAUGGCAACAGUACAUACAAAUACACACCUACAUGCACACAUUUUCUCUAUACAAAAGCAUGCUUACAUUCAAACGCACAAACACUGCUCACAAAUACUAUAAUGGAUGGGCAAAUGGUAGAUCCCCAGCUGGAAUAGCAUCAUUGAAGUGGCAUGACAGAUAGGAAUCAGCCUUUUGGCCACCACUCUUGCACUACACAGGGGCACAAAAAGUUUUUGCACUAGACCCCUCUCUACAUUAGUUCCACCAUUUUAGAACAGUUUAACUGAAGCUCACUGGCUGAGUGUUCAGGGGCUAAGAGGAAUCAACCCAAAGUAGUGGAUAGCACUAAAUGGGUUUCUUAAAAAGUGUAACACGUAUGAUAAAAGAGAUCUUAUAACUCAGCAGCAAUCACCAAAUAUGUGUAAAACAAUCCAAUAUCCAGAAAAAGAUGUUGCAUUAGAGUAUUACUAUGUGUAUCUAGU